UCGAACGCGAAAGGGGCUUCGGCCCUGAGUAGAGUGGCGAACGGGUGAGUAACACGUGGGUGAUCUACCUUCGAGUGGGGGAUAACGUCCCGAAAGGGAGGCUAAUACCGCAUGACGUUCUGGGUUUAAAGACCUGGAAACCAAAGCCGGGGACCGCAAGGCCUGGCGCUUGAAGAGGAGCCCGCGUCCGAUUAGCUAGUUGGCGGGGUAAUGGCCCACCAAGGCGACGAUCGGUAGCCGGCCUGAGAGGGCGGACGGCCACACUGGAACUGAGACACGGUCCAGACUCCUACGGGAGGCAGCAGUGGGGAAUUGUUCACAAUGGGCGCAAGCCUGAUGACGCAACGCCGCGUGGGGGAUGAAGGUCUUCGGAUUGUAAACCCCUGUCGAAUGGGACGAAUGAUUCGCGCACUAACACCGCGCGGAAAUGACGGUACCGUUAAAGGAAGCCACGGCUAACUCUGUGCCAGCAGCCGCGGUAAUACAGAGGUGGCAAGCGUUG
rnacentral:rRNA from 1 species